rnacentral:rRNA from 1 species
CCUACGGGAGGCAGCAGUAGGGAAUCUUCCGCAAUGGACGAAAGUCUGACGGAGCAACGCCGCGUGAGCGAAGAAGGUCUUCGGAUCGUAAAGCUCUGUUGUUAGGGAAGAACAAGUACGGGAGGAAAUGACCGUACCUUGACGGUACCUAACGAGGAAGCCAUUGCUAACUACGUGCCAGCAGCCGCGGUAAUACGUAGGUGGCAAGCGUUGUCCGGAAUUAUUGGGCGUAAAGCGCGCCACGGCGGUCUUUUAAGUCUGAUGUGAAAUCUUGCGGCUCAACGGCAAGCGGUCAUUGGAAACUGGGGGACUUGAGUGCAGAAGGGGAAAUCGGAAUUCAACGUGUAGCGGUAAAAUGCGUAGAGAGGUGGAGGAACACCAGUGGCGAAGGCGGCUUUCUGGUCUGUAACUGACGCUGAGGCGCGAAAGCGUGGGGAGCAAACAGGAUAAGAUACCCCAGUAGUC